rnacentral:rRNA from 1 species
AUGGAGGCGCCGACGGGCCUGCACAGGCUGCGGGGCCCGUCGCCCAUCGUGUGGGCCAUGCGCACCCGCGUCGCCCCGCCGCCGCGGCUCGCCGAGCCGAUCCCCCGCCCCGUCUACCCUCCCCCUCCCCCGCCGCGGGCGCCGCUGCCGCCUCCGGCGGAGAAGAGGCGCCGCGGGCGCCCCCGCAAGGUCGCCUGCCUGCCGCCAACGCCGGGGCUCGGGCCGCCGCCGGGGUUCGCGCCCUCGCCGGCUGCGCGGCCGAAUCCGGCGCCGACCGCCCACGGGCAAGGGGACUUGGGCGGGCUCCAGCCGCACGUGCUCACCAUUGCUGCGGGAGAGGAUAUCAUAUCAAGGGUCAUGGCGGUCUCACAGCUGAAUUCGAAGGCCAUCUGCAUUCUUUCAGCUCUUGGGUCUGUUAGGGAAGCAGUUCUACUCCAGCCAUCUGGUGUCAUUCUAAAUCACAAGGGUCCUUUAGAAAUCAUCCGGCUUUCUGGAUCCAUUUUGACAUCUAAUGACCAUCGAUCUCUGCGUAUUACCCUUGCUUCUGUCAAUAGUUUUGUGAUCAGUGGCAUUAUAGCUGGACCUCUCAUAGCUGAAACUCCUGUCCAGGCAAUUCUUGGAAGCUUUCACAACAGUGCAUUCUUGCCAAACAACGCACCUAGGGCAGACAUUGCGUGUUAUCCUAACACGCAAGGUGCCAUCGCAAAUGGCAGCACUCUACCCAGUGAGCGUUCCAAUCCAGUAUAUGCUUCUCGUACUUCCAUGGAACAAAAUGAAUCAAGUGAGGUUGAUGUCAAGCCCUUUGUUGGACUGGUUAAUCUAAAUCCAGAAUAUGCAUCUCGUACUCCCGUGGUACAGCGUGAAUCAUAUCAGGCACUUCUCGGAAGCUUUCACAACAAUUUGUUCUCUCCAAACAACGCACCUAGGGCAGCCAUUCCGUGUUAUCCUAACACGCAAGGUGCCACCGGAAAUGGCAGCACUCUACCCAGUGAUCGCUCCAAGCCACAAUAUGCAUCUCGUACUUCCGUGGAGCAGAACGAAUCAGAUGAGGUUGAUGUCAAGCCCUUUGUUGGAUUGCUGAAUCCAAAUCCAGAAUAUGCAUCUCGUACCCCCGUGGAACGGAACGAAUCAAGCGAGAUUGAUGUCAAGCCCUUUGUCGGACUGGUUAUUCCGAAUCCAGAAUAUGCACCUCAUACCCCUGUGGAACGGAACGAAUCAAGCUAG